rnacentral:rRNA from 1 species
GUCCUAGCCGUAAACGUUGUAUACUAGGUGUUGGUGGUAUCAACUCCACCAGUGCCGCAGCUAACGCAUUAAGUAUACCGCCUGAGGAGUAUGCCCGCAAGGGUGAAACUCAAAGGAAUUGACGGGGGCCCGCACAAGCGGUGGAGCAUGUGGUUUAAUUCGACGCUACGCGAGGAACCUUACCUGGUCUUGACAUGCACUUGACCGGCCUAGAGAUAGGUCUUCCCUUCGGGGCAAGUGUGCAGGUGCUGCAUGGCUGUCGU